GACGAACGCUGGCGGCGUGCCUAACACAUGCAAGUCGAGCGGGGGACUUCGGUCCCUAGCGGCGGACGGGUGAGUAACACGUGGGUAACCUGCCUUGUAGAGGGGGAUAGCCUUCCGAAAGGAAGAUUAAUACCGCAUAACAUUAUUUCUUCGCAUGAGGAGAUAAUCAAAGGAGCAAUCCACUACAAGAUGGACCCGCGGCGCAUUAGCUAGUUGGUGAGGUAACGGCUCACCAAGGCGACGAUGCGUAGCCGGCCUGAGAGGGUGAACGGCCACAUUGGAACUGAGACACGGUCCAGACUCCUACGGGAGGCAGCAGUGGGGAAUAUUGCACAAUGGGCGAAAGCCUGAUGCAGCAACGCCGCGUGAGUGAUGAAGGCCUUCGGGUUGUAAAGCUCUGUCUUCUGGGACGAUAAUGACGGUACCA
rnacentral:rRNA from 1 species